rnacentral:tRNA from 1 species
CCGACCUUAGCUCAGUUGGUAGAGCGGAGGACUGUAGUGCUUGCAGAUCAAUCCUUAGGUCGCUGGUUCGAAUCCGGCAGGUCGGA